GUGAACGCGAUCUCCUCGGCUCUCCUGAACAACCUACUGGGGGCAUGAAAGCAGCAGGACUGGUCUUGGGAGAAGCUUGUCCACCAGGUCCUGAAGCCGGAGGAUGUUCUUGCGGUCCUCCUCGGCCUGCAAACACAGCACCCGUGCAGGGCCCAAACCCACUGCGGCUUCCGAUGGGGUCUGAGCAGCAAAGCGCUUGGGGAGGUUUCUGAGACCUCUACCUGAUGAGAAGACUGAGGCACAAGAGGAUAAGCAACUUGCUCGAGGUCACACAGCUGUCAAAUGGAGGAUCGAGGAUGUAAACCCAGAGAUCUGGUUCC
rnacentral:lncRNA from 1 species